rnacentral:rRNA from 1 species
UACAGAGGUCCCAAGCGUUGUUCGGAUUCACUGGGCGUAAAGGGUGCGCAGGUGGCGCUUCAAGUUUGAUGUGAAAGCUUCGGGCUUAACCCGGAAAUGGCAUUGAAUACUGGAGUGCUGGAGGUUUGGAGGGGGGACUGGAAUUCUCGGUGUAGCGGUGAAAUGCGUAGAUAUCGAGAGGAACACCUGCGGCGAAGGCGGGUUGCUGGGCUGACACUGACGCUGAGGCGCGAAAGCUAGGGGAGCGAACGGG